UUUCCCGGUGACUGACUGUCUUGCAGUCGAGGAAGGAAGCGUAAAAAUGGAGGAAGGUGAAUGCAGUAAUAAUAAGGGUUUAUUGUCCAAGUCGUCAGAAAAGGUGUGUGUGUGUGUAAGAGCACGAAAGAAAGUGUGUGGCAGAGUAGAGAAACAGAGAUGGAGAUGGAGAGGGAAAAAGAUCAGCAUGCAGAGCUUAAAGUUUGUGACAUUUUUAUGUGUUCAUUUCUUCUCCCAUCCCCCCGCCUCCUAGUCUGGCUCCUUGAUGUUGUAGGCACGGUGCGUUGAUAAUGAAGGGGGCUAGGCUUCUUUACUAAUUGGUUCUCCUCUGUCUCUCACUCAAACACCCACAUGGUCACAGCCCACGAGUACUGCAUUUUGGCCCUUGGUUCCGCAACCAAGCAAUCACGUCCCACAUUUUAUCAACAAAUUCAAACACCGCUCUGAUUUAAAGAAAAUGGUUGAUUUGUCUUGUAUUUCAGUCAGACAUUCCAACCUGCCUCUUACACUUACACAUUACACUUAUGAAAAAAGAUCAAGUAAAAAUACAUGACCAAAAGUAUGUGGACACCUGCUCGUCGAACAUCUCAUUCCAAAAUCAUGAGUAUUAAUAUGGAGUUGGUCCCCUCUUUGCUGCUAUAACAGCCUCCACACGUCUGGGAAGGCUUUCCACUAGAUGUUGGAACAUUGCUGCAGGGACUUACUUCCAUUCAGCAACAAAAGCAUUAGUGAGGUCCCAGGCCUUCCCCAAACUGUUGCCACAAAGUUGGAAGCACAGAAUUGUCUAGAAUGUCAUUGUAUGCUGUAGCGUUAAGAUUUACCUUCACUGGAAAUAAGGGGCCUUACCAGAACCAUGAAAAACAGCCCCAGAUCAUGAAUUUCUCCUCCAUCAAACUUUACAGUUGGUACUAUGCAUUGGGGGCAGGUAGCGUUCUCCUGGCAUCCGCCAAACCCAGAUUCGUGCGUCAGACUGCCAGAUGGUAAAGCGUGAUUCAUCACUACAGAGAACGUGUUUCCACUGCUCCAGAGUCCAAUGGCGGCAAGAUUUACACCACUCCAGCCAACGCUUGCCAUUGAGCAUGGUGAUCUUAGGCUCGUGUGCGGCUGCUCGGCCAUAAAAACCCAUUUGAUGAAGCUCCCUACAAACAGUUCUUAUGCUGAAGUUGGAUGAGCCAUUCUUACUAAUCUACUGGAGAGCCAGUUCGGGUUUAAGUAUAACUUCUUAUAACUUUUGUAUGACUGAUGCUUUUAGUUCAAGCUUUAAUAGGGAUAGGGGGCAGUAUUCAAAAAUUCGGAUGAAUGACGUGCCCAAAGUAAACUGCCUGUUACUCAGUCCCAGAAGCUAGGAUUAUGCAUAUAAUUGGUAGUAUUGGAUAGAAAACACUCUGAAGUUUCUAAAACUGUUAAGAUAAUGUCUGUGAGUAUAACAGAACUGAUAUAGUAGGCGAAAACCCGAGGAGAAUCGUUCCAAUUUUUUAUUUUUUGAGGUCACCACCCAUUGGAAGGACUGUCUAUGGGAAAAUCAAAGGAACACCUCCCAGAUUGCAGUUCAUAGGGACUCCAUUAGAUGUCAACAGUCUUUAGAAAGAGUUUCAGGCUUGUUUUUUGAAAAAUGAGCUAGAAUUUGUAGUUUUUCUAAGUGGCUCUCAUUUUGGCUGUAGUAUUGUUGCGCGCACUCUGUAAUUUACAUUUUACAUUUACAUUUUAGUAAUUUAGCAGACGCUCUUAUCCAGAGCGACUUACAGUAGAGUGCAUACAUUUUAUUACAUUUUUUUUUUUUACAUUUCAUUACAUACUGAGACAAGGAUAUCCCUACCGGCCAGACCCUCCCUAACCCGGGCGACGCUAUGCCAAUUGUGCGUCGCCCCACGGACCUCCCGGUUGCGGCCGGCUGCAACAGAGCCUGGGCGCGAACCCAGCCCAGCCUGGGCGCGAACCCAGGGACUCCUAGACCACUGCCCCACCCGGGAGGCUAAUUUAUCUCUGGCUAGAGACCAUGUUGCGGAGCCUUCGGUGGGCAAGCGGGUCAUUUGAUUGAUGAAGAGAUGGCCGGCAAUCUAAUUGCUGUUGCAGAGGAGUUCCUACAAGAGGCAAAUGACAUCCAACAACGGCAACCUUACGAAGAUGGCAAGUUAUUACAUUUGUAUAUAUUUUUUUGCAAGGCAUGAGUGGCUAAGGCUGAGAUUGUAUCAUUUUACUUGUCCUGUGUUGUCUCCUGUGCCAAGUCAAUCAAUGAAAAAAACAUUUGGUUGGCCUAUAAUGCUGUUCCUAAAUUCUAUAUGGUGAUCUUAUAGUCUUUUAACCUAAUGAAUUUAGGAGUGUUUUUUGUAAUUAAUUAUCUAUUGUAUUUUUUAUUUCAGUAGCCUAUAUAGCGCCUUUGGAGGGAAGGUGGUAUCACAUCACCAAGGAGCAGCUUGAGUUCCUCAUAGAUUAUAAUUUGACCAUCAGACAAAUGGCAGAUGUUCUCAAUGUGUCGCACUCCGUGGUCAAGCGGCGCACGAGCUAAGUUAUCGUAAUUGAAUAAAGUAAUUGUAACACAAGAGGGAGAUCUCUACAUCCUCUCUAGAUUUGAUCACAUUCCUGAUUGAUGUAUCUUUUUGUGUUAUUUUUGUACUUAGUCAUUUUCAGCUUUUCAGGUUCUACUCACUGUUGUCAGACGCUCGGCUGGAUGAGGGGAUCAACGAGCUGAUAUCAAUAUGAACAGAAUGAGAGAAAGAUAAGAGAAAGAAAAGUAGGUGGAGGAUUGGAGGAUUGUUAUCCAUGGUGCUGUGGAUGGUUACAGCAAACUUGUUGUGUUUCUGAAGGCCUCUGACAACAACAGGACCGCCACAGUCAUGGAGUCAUUCGAAGCAGCCAUCACCAGCUACGAAGUACCAUCCUGGGUGAGAUGUGACCGGGUGGUGAAAACAACCGUAUCUAUGCCUUCAUGGAGCAGUUCAGUGGUGGUGAGAGGGGAAGUUCCCUCCGGGGAAGGAGCACUCACAACCAGAGGAAAUAGUGGCUGUGGGGGGACGUCUGGCAUGGAGUCUCCAACGUUUACCAUGACCUGUUCACCUUCUUGGAGACGGAGCAGGUCAUCGACAUCAACAAUGAGGUGCACCUGUGGGCACUGCACUUUGUGUUCCUGCCACGGGUGAACAGAGAUCUUGCUGUGUUUGCCAGUCAGUGGAACCACCAUGGGCUGAGGACUGAACAACGGCAGUCACUUCUGCAGUUGUUCCGUCUCGGGUUCCCUGGCAAUGCAGAGGGCCAAUCUGACAGCAGUAAGGGAUUUGUUCGCCCCAAAUUUAACCACCAUCAGCUCCUCCAACCACCACCUCAGCUCCAACCCCUGGCGCCGCAGCUCUUUAUUGGUCGGAAUGGGUGAUUGGGCCACAAAUCCAGUUCACCAUCAGCAACUCACAGAUGGAACUGUUGCAGACAAUAAUUCCAUUGGAAGGCCCCAGAGGCAGCCUGGGAGUUGACAAUCUACAGAGGGUUGUGGCAGUUAUAUCUUCAGCGCCACUCGUUCCUACUCCAACCUGACUUACUACACCCCUGAUACUCCCCUACUGGGAUGAGGGAUUGGACGCUAUAUCUUCAGCGCCACUCGUUCCUUUGAAUCAGUUCAUUUUUAUAAUACAUGUUUCCCCUCUUUCGCACACUGUAUGAUUUGGUCUCUAGAAAGGUUCGACAGACAUCUUCAACUCUAAACGGAUGGGGUCCAGAGUUUAGACACAGGUGGCCUUAACUUUUGUUAAGUACUUCCCCAUUCCAGUACGAUUCUGUUUGGUCAUGUUUGGAGAAAGUCAGGUAGUGUUAAGAUAUACGGCAUAUGGUUAUUGUAUUUUGCUCUGUGGCGCAUUAGCACAACAUUCCAUCUGCUGACACAAUAUUUGUCUUCCACUCAGUACAACACGACCCAGGAGAGGCCUACUGCAAGCACUGGAUUGGACCCUUCAGAGCGUGCCUGCUGUGGGAGGACAACAGAACAUCCCGAAUGGACAUUAUUAAAACAGAACUUACAUUUUUGUAAUGCCCAAUCGGGACUUGUUAAAAUAAAUAAUUGUGUGGAGAACGCUUGAUAGUUUAAAAAAAUAAACUAUGAAGAUAGGGAUUUGGUGGUUCGGCCCCCGUUACAUUUUAUAUCAUUGUGAUUAACAGCAACAUAUUACAGUUAGUAACAUAACAUUGUUGACACAUUGUGACAGCUCAAAUUAUGUGGUUGAAGAUGGACUAGUGCAGGGCUCUCAACCUUGUUCCUGGAGAGCUGCUGUCUUGUAGGUUCACUCCAACCCUAGUCUAGUGCACCUGAUUUUAAUAAUUAGCUGCUUAAUAAGUUAAUCAGGUUAGUUACAACUGAGGUUGGAAUAAAAACCUACAGGAGGGUAGCUCUCCAGGAACAGGGUUGGAGAGCCUUGGACUAAUGGAUCUAGUUCUUAGAUCAAUGCAUUUGAAAUUCGAUAAGUCACUACAAAGGUGCAGUUCCCAGAAGUGGAGCUGUUACUUAAUGCAGAGGAUGGGAAGCCUUAUUUCAUGUCGUUCUAAUUAAAUGAUAAUGGCUGAAGUUAAUUUGAUGUCCUACAUUAAGAACAAAUGAUCAGAUUUGAAUGAGUUGGCUGCAAUAUGGCAGCAGUACUUCAGUCAAUAUCAGCAAAGGAUACUGGUUAUUAGUGAAGUGUCGGUAAAGUGUUUCUGAAAAAACUAAACCUUAAAAACAAGCAAUAUGGAUUGUAUAAUUUAAUAUUAAUGAUCAUCAAGUGAACAAUAACGGCCAAUAUGGAAAUAAAGUGUAUUUGGAAAGUAUUCAGACCCUUUGACUUUUUCCACAUUUUGUUACAUUAGAGUUUUAUUCUAAAGUGUAUUAAAUAAAUACAAAUGUAGCGUAAUACCCAAGAAUGGUGUAAUCUAUAUCUAUGGUGUAAUCUCUGCCAAAGGUGCUUCAGCAAAGUACUGAGUAAAGGGUCAUAAAUGUAAUAUUUCCUUUUUUUAUACAUUUGCAAAAAUGUCAACCUGUUUUUGCUUUGUCAUUAUGGAGUAUUGAUGAGGGGGGAAAAAAAUAUUGUAUCCAUUUUUGAAUAAGGCUGUAACGUAAUAAAAUGUGGAAAAAGGGGUCUGAAUACGUUCCGAAUGCAAUGUACAAACAAUAGAGAUGUAAGUAGAUAAAUGCUUAAAUGUUGAUGUGCAGUUACAUUUUCAAACACUCAAUUGCUACUGUAAUUUAGUGCUACUAGAUACAAUUAUGUAUCGUAAAAAUGUGUUUUUAUGCAACACCGAAAUGUGGGGAAUUCACAAUACCCGGAGGUCAUGAAUUCCCUAAAGACAUUGUGGGUGCUAUGAAGUGGGAGCCUUAGUGUCACAGCACACGUGUUUGCCUCUGGGUACUUUUUCUUCUGCUGCCCAGCGAGACGCCCUCGCGCUGUGUGGAGGAAUUCGAUGGUCGGGGUGUCCUCAAACCCAAGGGGUGGCACCACCGUUGCCAGAAAACUCCAACACCAUCGCCACUGUUAGAGGAGGACAUUCUCCAUCUGAGUACACGGUAAAACAUUUAAAUCACAAAAUGGAAUAAUAUACAGUUACCGAUAAACUGGAACAAUUUACUAUUUUACCUUGCACCUCAGCCAGCCAGUUGAACCAGUGGCAGAUGGUGUUGUUCUCCAAACACCGCCGGUUGCCGCCAGGUAUGGAAUAGGUUACUUUAAACAGGUCCCUGGCAGUGGGAGGCUUGAUGGAGUCCACAAAAAGUGCUCGGAAGCUGUCCGGAUGGUUCCCCAAUGCCUCGAGCAGCCCAAGAGAGUUGAGACCAUAUUUCAACCUGUUAUGGUUUAGAGACAGUAUGUAUAUUAAAAAUAAGUGUUAAGGACAAUAUAGUGAGGUGUAUUGAUUUAGGGGGGUGGACUGAUUAAAAAGGUAAUGACAAGUACUUCACAGAUUUACGACAGAGUUGACUUACUGCUCCAAGGCCACCUGCAUACAAAUUGUUGAGCCACCAAUUCAACCACACCAUCUCUGUCCUCCAUUGUGUUGACAACAAUCCUUUUUUGUAGAGGAACGAGCCUCCUCCUCCUCCUGUCUUAAAGGCCUCUACAUUUAGAUUCAUCUGGGGGAAUGUUUUCCCCAAAACCUUCAAGAAGCUGCUCUCCUCCUGACCACAGGGCACUUUGAUCUGCCACACAGGAUACUCUAAAGAUACUGAGAUAUGGAACCAUUAUUUAAAUCUAAUAAAAAGUAUCCUAAUAUAAAACAGGGAAAUAGUCCAUGAUCUUUAAAAAUCAGUAAAAUAACCUUCAAUAAGUCUAUGUUUAAUCACAAGAUAGAUUCACACCUAGCUUACUUACAAAGCAAGCACUGCAUCGCACUGUGUCCUCAUGUACUACAUUGAUAUAGGGAAAAUGUACCUAUCCUGUUCAGCUACCGGAUGGUAGGGUCAGCGAUCAGACAACCCUCAUAGUUAUCAACCUGCUACUCCCGAUUUGCCGCCUUUGGACUCCAGCAUUAUUCAGUCUCCCGAACGAUUGAAAUCUGACAUGUGCAAACGUUAUAAAAGUUACAAUAAUGACACUCAGCAUAAUCGCCGCCGCCCAUACUCGCGCACCCCACGGUAGCUGUUGCAACCAUUAGCUAGCUAACGUUACUAGGCCUGUUAAUAUUGACUUUUGCCAGAAAUGACCUAACCUACCAGAAUGAAUCCUACCUUUGAACCACCCGAUCCUGGGGUGGUUGUAAAGGUGGUUGCACUUGGCUGGCAAAACUUAAAAAGCGGUCUCAUGUUUUCAAGGUUCGACAUGACUUAGUCAUUUGUUGGUGAUGAUGAAUGUUCAAAUACCUCAAAUAUUUUUUUUUUUUAAUGGCCCAAA